rnacentral:lncRNA from 1 species
UAAUAGGCCUUUUAUCUUACAAGAUCCUUACAUUAUUUCCGUCCUUAAUUAAAUUUUAUGCAUCUUUUCAUUUGUUUCUUUUGCAAUUUAUGAAGCAUAUAGUCGUAUACUCGUAUUACUAUUAUGUAUUUCAUAAUGUGCAGAGCAGUAAAAAACUAUGAAGAAUCCAAAUUGGAGUCUCUUGCGGGUUAAAAAAUCAAUUCUCUAUCCAAGUGAGUCUACACAAUCACUACACAAGAUACUGAUACUUGUAAUAAUUUUAAAAAAUGGAAGUGGUUGAACGUAAACGUAUGUGUCAGUGCUAUGUCGAUGUUGCAUAUCGGACUUGCCUGCAAUCUGAAAUGUCUAUGAUGCAUAUAUAGUUAGCAAGUAUUUAAUUUAGAUCCUAAUUGCAUUUUUUUAAUGGAUCAAUAAGGGUACAACUUAAGCAAGCAUUUCCAAAUCUAAAUCUCUAAAAGCUGCAAAUAUUUUUGUUGUUGCAGAUCUGAUUUUGUUGAUGAUUCCAUGGUCCAACUGUAAGUUAGCAGGCAAGGUUCUGAUGGGAAGCCUAAAACACCGAAAUAAUGACGCCUGGUUAACACAUUCAAGAGUGCAUAAUAGGAAAUAUUUUUAAAAAAAAGGCAAUGGGAAAUAUGUCAAACUUUAUCGUACUUUCUCGUUAGAAUAGAAAUAUGUGAUACUUAUAGCAGACUUUUUACUAUGUUAGAGGUUGAAUUUGGUUUUCCUAAAAAU